GAGUCAAAGAGGGAGCCCCGGAGAAAGUAGGAGGAAAUGACAGAGAGAAGGGAAAGCAGGGCAGAGGGAGAAAGAGAGGAGGCCAUAGAGAUAGAGAGAGAUACAGAGGGCGUUUGGAAGUAGGAAUACACAGAUGAGAGAGCAUAAGAGAAAGCCAGACAGACAGCAGUGCAGACAGACAGACAGACAGACAUCAUUACAGACAGACAGACACAGGCAGGCAGACAGACAGAGGCAUGUCCACCCAACCGGGUCCCCAGCACAGGGUCUUGUUCCAAACCCCAGGUGAGGAGAAGGCGGAAGAGGAGCCUCCUCAACGCAGACUGGGAAAACUCACGGUCAAGUACAACCGCAAGGACCUGCAAAAGAGGCUGGACAUCGAGGAGUGGAUCGACGGGCAGCUGCAUCUCCUGUUCGACUGCGAGGAGGAGGAUAUUCCAGAGUUAGAAAUUGACAUGGAUGAGUUGCUGGAUCUAUCAGACGCAGAACAGAGAGCAAAGCUACAUGACCUUCUUCAAGACUGUGACAAGCCCAAAGAGACGACCCCAGGACCUGACCCCACCACACAACCCCUUACCCCAGUGAGACUGCUCUCUAGUGGUGAGAAGUGACAGCCCAAAACAAACCCAAACAUACACCCUAUCAAAAUGACUCUUACAACCACAACAUGACUUCAUCGACGGCUUGCUGUAUCGUAUGAAGGGACUUCGCAAGAUGUCCCUGAAAAAAUGAGCCGGAGACCAUGUGAAAUGAGACACCAUUCUCUCUCACCUGUAGCUGUGGAUGUGUGUACAGUGACAGUCCUCAUGUAUCUAGAUAUAUCCUAUAUGUAUCCACAAUCUGCACUAUCAGUGUCUAUAUUAGUGGUUGGCAGCACUUGUCAAAGAGGGUCCCCAUGGCCAGUCUGUCCUGGCCUUAUAUUAUUAGGACCAAUUGAUACCAUAUAUGUCUUACUCACAUAAGCCUGGUGGGUCUUCCAAUGGGGCAUCUGUGUAAAACUGAGAUUAAAUAUGACAUGAUAUAGCAUAGAGAUGUCCUACUAGAUUCAAACACCUCUUGGGAUCAGUUGCCUCUGAAGUAGAAUGAGAGAUCAUCCAGUCUAGUGUUGAUGGAUUAUCCAGUCUAUCGUUUAUGUCAAUGUUUUUCCACUGUUAUGUUACAGAAUGGUUCACCAAUUCACCAUGGCCUGGUUUAUGUUCUUCGGUGUUAAUGGACACUUCUGGCAUUUUGAAUAAUCAGAUCACAGCUUAUUGUUAUGUUGACAUUCUUUUUUAUUUAUUUUGUAUUUUUUAUGAAAUGUUUUCUCUGAUGAAUGCCCUACUAUGACUAGCCCAAGAAUGUACUGUCGUGUCUUUGGCUAUGCCGGAUUAAGUAAUAUGACAUGCUAUUCUAUAUUAAUAUCACCUGAUUGAGCUAAUCAUGUAAAUGUAAUUAACUAGAGAGUCAGGCACCACAAAAUAAUAUUUAUAGAGCUGUUAUCUUCCGAAUAAACUCUUAAAGACGUAGUAAUAUUUUACAUCAAUAGCAGUCAACAUUAAUCAUCACCUUAAUUCAGUCUCAUCUGAAAGUUGUAGAUUCUUAGUUAUCUGCACGAACCCUGGCUAACAAUUUGAAUCAGCAAUACGAAAUUGGGUUUAAUUAUUUAUUUACUAAAUACCUAACUAAUCACACAGAAUUACACAUACACACAAUUAAUCAUAACUUGAUUACAAAUUACGUCAUAAAGGAAAACGUCCCUAGCGGGCAGAACAGAUAUGACAGCUUGUUACACAAAGGAAAAGGGCUGGGUUUGAGCGAAAGAGCCGGAAGACUGAGGAACAAAGGGAAGAAGCUGUGCUAUCGGAAAUACAGUAUCUUAUGCAUUCUAAAUUACCGCCCAUUUGGAAAAGGAAAAUGCAAUAAAUAUUUACUCUGAGCUGCGCUUUAGUAGGUUGGUGGUAGAUUGAAGAGCGUGUUGCCAAACCGAGUCCUCUAUCCUUUGAAGAAUGUCUCUGGUGGUCAAUUGGAUAAGUUGUAGUAACCUCGUUGUGUGAUAGACGGGAUACUCAGUCUGUUCCUUCCUAACCCUCGUUUGCAGCAGAUGUUGCUAACUCAACGGCUAGGAGGUAUCACUUCUGUAGUGAAUAAGAGUUCAAAGUUCAUACCAUUCGUAACAAGCUCACGCUGAUGUUUGCUUCGUUCUGUAGUUAUUAUCUGAACCAUUCUGACAUAGGACCAUCAUCAGAACAGAAAGUUAUGUUGUCGUCAAGGCUUUAUAUAGGAAGGGAGAAAAGGGGUGUGUUUCAUAGUUUACAACCUCUGUCUCUUCACGUGGGCGGGCCACUGAGUGAGCAGCCCUAUCUUAUGUAAAGCCACAUCUCACAUUUUUGAAGCUAAAAUCACAUUUCAUCCCAUCACAAAUAAUUUAAUAUUCAAACAUUUAAAUUGAACAACAAUUCCAUGUAAAUCUGAUAACUCUGAUGUGUAGUCUUUCCAUUGUAGAGUUUAUGUCAUCUUAUCAUUGAUGAGAAUAUCUCAGAUGACAACCGAACUGACAUCAUAUUCAUUAAUUACCACCGCAUAUGUUCCAUUGGAUUACCAGAAUAUAGUUAAUUUCCCCCCACCUUCUGACGUUCCCAGAAUCUCUAUGUUAACCAUGGGUUUUGCAAAUGUAAGCUCAGUAGGGUAGAGAGAGGAAAAAGGGGGGACUGUCAUAAACCUAUCCCCCAGGCCAAUGUCAUGACAGUACUGUAAAUAUGGUUACUAAUAUUUUUGUUUAGCUUAAAGUAUUGUUUUAAAAGAGGCAGUGCUCUCAUUAACUGUUACAUCGGAAUUUCAAAUGUGAUCUCCAAUAGAAAAUAUGUGUACUGUGAUUUUACCUAUGAUAUUCUGGAAAAUAUCACCUAAAACAAAUUCACUUCAAUCCAUAAAAGGGCAGUUAGGCAUCACAAAAUGUCGACGAGCCUUGGAACCGCUAUGGAUCCCAAUGGGGGGGGGGAUCUAAACUUUUUCUCUUUGUGAAUUUCAAUAAAUCAGUGGAAGCAUA